rnacentral:lncRNA from 1 species
GCAUUAAUUGCGUAAUAUUGAUAAUUGACUUAUUGCAUAAUAAUGCAUAUUAUAAGUUUUAUGUAAUACUAUGUUUUUUUAAUAGGAUUUAUUUGUAAUAUAUGUGCAUUCUGUAGCUAAUAAAGACAUGAUAAUGAGAUGUACGCAAUAGUGCUAUGUAAUAAAGUAUGAUUUGCAACUGUAGCGGCAAAAAAAAAAGCAAAUCAGUGUUGCAAACGCUAACUAGCAAAAAUGGUGCAACAUGUACAUAUGUUUUAUAUGAGUAAUUAACCUGAUUAUUACAUUCACUCGACCUUUGGGUCUGUUUACCGUGAGAUAAUUAUUAUCAAUUUGAUAUUGAUGGAUAUGAAUAAAAAAU